rnacentral:rRNA from 1 species
AUUGAACGCUGGCGGCAGGCCUAACACAUGCAAGUCGAGCGGAUGAGUGGAGCUUGCUCCAUGAUUCAGCGGCGGACGGGUGAGUAAUGCCUAGGAAUCUGCCUGGUAGUGGGGGACAACGUUUCGAAAGGAACGCUAAUACCGCAUACGUCCUACGGGAGAAAGCAGGGGACCUUCGGGCCUUGCGCUAUCAGAUGAGCCUAGGUCGGAUUAGCUAGUAGGUGAGGUAAUGGCUCACCUAGGCGACGAUCCGUAACUGGUCUGAGAGGAUGAUCAGUCACACUGGAACUGAGACACGGUCCAGACUCCUACGGGAGGCAGCAGUGGGGAAUAUUGGACAAUGGGCGAAAGCCUGAUCCAGCCAUGCCGCGUGUGUGAAGAAGGUCUUCGGAUUGUAAAGCACUUUAAGUUGGGAGGAAGGGCAGUAAGUUAAUACCUUGCUGUUUUGACGUUACCAACAGAGUAAGCACCGGCUAACUUCGUG